rnacentral:rRNA from 1 species
GGGCCCGCACAAGCGGUGGAGCAUGUGGUUUAAUUCGAUGAUACGCGAGGAACCUUACCAGGGCUUAAAUGUAGUAUGACCGGCUUGGAAACAGGCCUUCUCUUCGGAGCAGAUUACAAGGUGCUGCAUGGUUGUCGUCAGCUCGUGCCGUGAGGUGUUAGGUUAAGUCCUGCAACGAGCGCAACCCCUAUUCUUAGUUGCCAGCGGUUCGGCCGGGGACUCUAAGAAGACUGCCAGCGCAAGCUGAGAGGAAGGUGGGGAUGACGUCAAAUCAUCACGGCCCUUACGUCCUGGGCUACACACGUGCUACAAUGGUAGAGACAGAGGGCAGCCAACCCGCGAGGGUGAG